UUAAGCGACUAAGCGUACACGGUGGAUGCCCUGGCAGUCAGAGGCGAUGAAGGACGUGCUAAUCUGCGAUAAGCGUCGGUAAGGUGAUAUGAACCGUUAUAACCGGCGAUUUCCGAAUGGGGAAACCCAGUGUGUUUCGACACACUAUCAUUAACUGAAUCCAUAGGUUAAUGAGGCGAACCGGGGGAACUGAAACAUCUAAGUACCCCGAGGAAAAGAAAUCAACCGAGAUUCCCCCAGUAGCGGCGAGCGAACGGGGAGCAGCCCAGAGCCUGAAUCAGUGUGUGUGUUAGUGGAAGCGUCUGGAAAGGCGCGCGAUACAGGGUGACAGCCCCGUACACAAAAAUGCACAUGCUGUGAGCUCGAUGAGUAGGGCGGGACACGUGGUAUCCUGUCUGAAUAUGGGGGGACCAUCCUCCAAGGCUAAAUACUCCUGACUGACCGAUAGUGAACCAGUACCGUGAGGGAAAGGCGAAAAGAACCCCGGCGAGGGGAGUGAAAAAGAACCUGAAACCGUGUACGUACAAGCAGUGGGAGCACAGAGCAAUCUGUGUGACUGCGUACCUUUUGUAUAAUGGGUCAGCGACUUAUAUUCUGUAGCAAGGUUAACCGAAUAGGGGAGCCGAAGGGAAACCGAGUCUUAACUGGGCGUUAAGUUGCAGGGUAUAGACCCGAAACCCGGUGAUCUAGCCAUGGGCAGGUUGAAGGUUGGGUAACACUAACUGGAGGACCGAACCGACUAAUGUUGAAAAAUUAGCGGAUGACUUGUGGCUGGGGGUGAAAGGCCAAUCAAACCGGGAGAUAGCUGGUUCUCCCCGAAAGCUAUUUAGGUAGCGCCUCGUGAAUUCAUCUCCGGGGGUAGAGCACUGUUUCGGCAAGGGGGUCAUCCCGACUUACCAACCCGAUGCAAACUGCGAAUACCGGAGAAUGUUAUCACGGGAGACACACGGCGGGUGCUAACGUCCGUCGUGAAGAGGGAAACAACCCAGACCGCCAGCUAAGGUCCCAAAGUCAUGGUUAAGUGGGAAACGAUGUGGGAAGGCCCAGACAGCCAGGAUGUUGGCUUAGAAGCAGCCAUCAUUUAAAGAAAGCGUAAUAGCUCACUGGUCGAGUCGGCCUGCGCGGAAGAUGUAACGGGGCUAAACCAUGCACCGAAGCUGCGGCAGCGACGCUUAUGCGUUGUUGGGUAGGGGAGCGUUCUGUAAGCCUGCGAAGGUGUGCUGUGAGGCAUGCUGGAGGUAUCAGAAGUGCGAAUGCUGACAUAAGUAACGAUAAAGCGGGUGAAAAGCCCGCUCGCCGGAAGACCAAGGGUUCCUGUCCAACGUUAAUCGGGGCAGGGUGAGUCGACCCCUAAGGCGAGGCCGAAAGGCGUAGUCGAUGGGAAACAGGUUAAUAUUCCUGUACUUGGUGUUACUGCGAAGGGGGGACGGAGAAGGCUAUGUUGGCCGGGCGACGGUUGUCCCGGUUUAAGCGUGUAGGCUGGUUUUCCAGGCAAAUCCGGAAAAUCAAGGCUGAGGCGUGAUGACGAGGCACUACGGUGCUGAAGCAACAAAUGCCCUGCUUCCAGGAAAAGCCUCUAAGCAUCAGGUAACAUCAAAUCGUACCCCAAACCGACACAGGUGGUCAGGUAGAGAAUACCAAGGCGCUUGAGAGAACUCGGGUGAAGGAACUAGGCAAAAUGGUGCCGUAACUUCGGGAGAAGGCACGCUGAUAUGUAGGUGAAGUCCCUCGCGGAUGGAGCUGAAAUCAGUCGAAGAUACCAGCUGGCUGCAACUGUUUAUUAAAAACACAGCACUGUGCAAACACGAAAGUGGACGUAUACGGUGUGACGCCUGCCCGGUGCCGGAAGGUUAAUUGAUGGGGUUAGCGCAAGCGAAGCUCUUGAUCGAAGCCCCGGUAAACGGCGGCCGUAACUAUAACGGUCCUAAGGUAGCGAAAUUCCUUGUCGGGUAAGUUCCGACCUGCACGAAUGGCGUAAUGAUGGCCAGGCUGUCUCCACCCGAGACUCAGUGAAAUUGAACUCGCUGUGAAGAUGCAGUGUACCCGCGGCAAGACGGAAAGACCCCGUGAACCUUUACUAUAGCUUGACACUGAACAUUGAGCCUUGAUGUGUAGGAUAGGUGGGAGGCUUUGAAGUGUGGACGCCAGUCUGCAUGGAGCCGACCUUGAAAUACCACCCUUUAAUGUUUGAUGUUCUAACGUGGACCCGUAAUCCGGGUUGCGGACAGUGUCUGGUGGGUAGUUUGACUGGGGCGGUCUCCUCCUAAAGAGUAACGGAGGAGCACGAAGGUUGGCUAAUCCUGGUCGGACAUCAGGAGGUUAGUGCAAUGGCAUAAGCCAGCUUGACUGCGAGCGUGACGGCGCGAGCAGGUGCGAAAGCAGGUCAUAGUGAUCCGGUGGUUCUGAAUGGAAGGGCCAUCGCUCAACGGAUAAAAGGUACUCCGGGGAUAACAGGCUGAUACCGCCCAAGAGUUCAUAUCGACGGCGGUGUUUGGCACCUCGAUGUCGGCUCAUCACAUCCUGGGGCUGAAGUAGGUCCCAAGGGUAUGGCUGUUCGCCAUUUAAAGUGGUACGCGAGCUGGGUUUAGAACGUCGUGAGACAGUUCGGUCCCUAUCUGCCGUGGGCGCUGGAGAAUUGAGGGGGGCUGCUCCUAGUACGAGAGGACCGGAGUGGACGCAUCACUGGUGUUCGGGUUGUCAUGCCAAUGGCACUGCCCGGUAGCUAAAUGCGGAAGAGAUAAGUGCUGAAAGCAUCUAAGCACGAAACUUGCCCCGAGAUGAGUUCUCCCUGACUCCUUGAGAGUCCUGAAGGAACGUUGAAGACGACGACGUUGAUAGGCCGGGUGUGUAAGCGCAGCGAUGCGUUGAGCUAACCGGUACUAAUGAACCGUGAGGCUUAACCUU
rnacentral:rRNA from 3 species